rnacentral:lncRNA from 1 species
CCUAGCUUCCACCAUUCUUCUCCAAAUCGAGAUUUCUCUCCGCCAAAAAUCCCUUUCCAUCCUCUAAUAACCCUCCUUCUCCUCACCCAUUUGAUCUUCAGAGUCUCCUUGCUUGCUCUUCUGGUGAGAAUGGCCCCAAAAAUGAAACUCCCUCAAAGAAGAAAAUCAGUCCGUGAGCUGGAAGAAGGCGUGCGCAGGAAAAGGCAAGCUUCUCAGACCUCCUCUGCUCCCAUUCCUGCUUCAGCAUCUGCACCAGGUUCCUCUCAGUCUCUUCUUAGCCCUAGCAA